rnacentral:rRNA from 1 species
AUUGAACGCUGGCGGAAUGCUUUACACAUGCAAGUCGAGCGGCAGCGCGGGGGCAACCCUGGCGGCGAGCGGCGAACGGGUGAGUAAUACAUCGGAACGUGUCCUUCAAGUGGGGGAUAGCUCGGCGAAAGCCGGAUUAAUACCGCAUAAGCUCUGAGGAGGAAAGCGGGGGACUGGUAACGGCCUCGCGCUGUUGGAGCGGCCGAUGUCGGAUUAGCUAGUUGGUGGGGAAAGGCCCACCAAGGCGACGAUCCGUAGCUGGUCUGAGAGGACGACCAGCCACACUGGGACUGAGACACGGCCCAGACUCCUACGGGAGGCAGCAGUGGGGAAUUUUGGACAAUGGGGGAAACCCUGAUCCAGCCAUGCCGCGUGAGUGAAGAA